AACGAACGCUGGCGGCAUGCCUAACACAUGCAAGUCGAACGAGACCUUCGGGUCUAGUGGCGCACGGGUGCGUAACGCGUGGGAACCUGCCCUUAGGUUCGGAAUAACUCCCCGAAAGGGAUGCUAAUACCGGAUAAUGUCUUCGGACCAAAGAUUUAUCGCCUUUGGAUGGGCCCGCGUUGGAUUAGCUAGUUGGUAGGGUAAAAGCCUACCAAGGCGACGAUCCAUAGCUGGUCUGAGAGGAUGAUCAGCCACACUGGGACUGAGACACGGCCCAGACUCCUACGGGAGGCAGCAGUGGGGAAUAUAGGACAAUGGGCGAAAGCCUGAUCCAGCAAUGCCGCGUGAGUGAUGAAGGCCUUAGGGUUGUAAAGCUCUUUUACCCGGGAUGAUAAUGACAGUACCGGGAGAAUAAGCUCCGGCUAACUCCGUG
rnacentral:rRNA from 1 species